rnacentral:rRNA from 1 species
AACGAACGCUGGCGGCAGGCUUAACACAUGCAAGUCGAGCGCCCCGCAAGGGGAGCGGCAGACGGGUGAGUAACGCGUGGGAAUCUACCCAUCCCUACGGAACAACUCCGGGAAACUGGAGCUAAUACCGUAUACGCCCUUUGGGGGAAAGAUUUAUCGGGGAUGGAUGAGCCCGCGUUGGAUUAGCUAGUUGGUGGGGUAAAGGCCUACCAAGGCGACGAUCCAUAGCUGGUCUGAGAGGAUGAUCAGCCACAUUGGGACUGAGACACGGCCCAAACUCCUACGGGAGGCAGCAGUGGGGAAUAUUGGACAAUGGGCGCAAGCCUGAUCCAGCCAUGCCGCGUGAGUGAUGAAGGCCUUAGGGUUGUAAAGCUCUUUCACCGGAGAAGAUAAUGACGGUAUCCGGAUAAGAAGCCCCGGCUAACUUCGUGCCAGCCGCCGCAGUAA